AAUAAAUAUGUCAAUUUAAAUUAAAUGACAUAUUUCAAAAUUGAUCCAGGAAGUAAUAUUGAAUCAGAAUACCCUGUAUCUACCAAAGAAAUUUAAUUUACAAUAACUAACAUUCCCAUAAAGGAUACAGUCCUAGGCAGUUACAGAUGGUGAAUUCUAUCAAACACUGAAAUGACAAAAGAAUCAAUCUUACCAAAACCCUCACAAAAUAGAAAAAGGAACACUUCCCAACUCAUUUUAUGAGGCCAGCAUCACUCUGAUACCAAAAUCUGACAAAUCAGAAAAGAAAAUUUCAGAAAAUGUCUCUCAUGAACAUAGAUGCAAAAGUUCUUAACAAUAUUAGAAAAUCAAAUCCAGCAGUAUAUAAAAAUAAUAUUACAUCAUGACCAAGGAGAGUUUAUCCAUGGAAUGCAAAGCUGAUUUAACAAUAGAAAACCACUCAGAUAGUUCACUACAUUGACAGAUGAGGGAGGAAAAACAACACGAUUAUCUUAAUAUAUGAACAAAAACAUUUGACUAAAUUAACGUCAUUCAUGACAAAAACUCAUAGCAAAGUAGGAAUAGAAGUGAACUUCCUCAACGUCAUAAUGGUCAGUACGAAAACCACUACUGUUAACAUACAUGAUGAAAUAUUGAACUAUUUCCUUCUUAAUUUGGAGGAAAAAAAUCAAGAAUAUCUGCUCUCACCACUUCAAUUCAACAUUAUACAAGAGGUUAGAGCUACUAAAAUAAGGUAAACUUAAACAAAUAAACAAUUUUAAAAGAGACAGAAGGAAGAAAGGGAGGCAGGAAGAAAGUUUGGAAAGAAGGAAGUAAAACUGUGUUUGUUUGCAGAUGAUGUGAUAUUUAUGUAGAGAAUUAUCAGACCUCUGAGCCUAAGCUAAGCCAUCAUAUCCUUUGUGACCUGCACGUACACAUCCAGAUGGCCGGUUCCUGCCUUAACUGAUGACAUUCCACCACAAAAGAAAUGAAAAUGGCCCGUUCCUGCCUUAACUGAUGACAUUAUCUUGUGAAAUUCCUUCUCCUGGCUCAUCCUGGCUCAAAAGCUCCCCUACUGAGCACCUUGUGACCCCCAACCCUGCCCGCCAGAGAACAACCCCCUUUUGACUGUAAUUUUCCUUUACGUACCCAAAUCCUAUAAAACGGCCCCACCCCUAUCUCCCUUCACUGACUGUCUUUUCAGACUCAGCCUGCCUGCACCCAGGUGAAAUAAACAGCAUUUUUGCUCACACAUAGCCUGUUUGGUGGUCUCUUCACAUGGAUGCGCAUGAAAUUUGGUGCUGUGACUCGGAUCCGGAGACCUCCCUUGGGAGAUAAAAUCCCCUGUCCUCCUGCUCUUUGCUCCGUGAAAAAGAUCCACCUACGACCUCAAGUCCUCAGACCCACCAGCCCAAGGAACAUCUCACCAAUUUUAAAUCAGCAAAAUGACAUGAAUGACUGAAAAAGCAUGUGGAGCACAAGACUCAAGAACUAAGUGAAAGGACUCACACUUCCUGAUUUCAAGUAAAGCUACAGCAAUCAAGACGUGGCAUUGAUGUAAGAAUAGACACAUCAAUGAAUGAAACAGAAUACAUCUUCCAGAAAUAAAUUCACACAAAUAUAGUCAAGAGGUUUUUUGUGUGCUAAAGUGUAUAUAAUAUUUACCAUUUUAACCAUUUUUAAGUGCACAGUUCAGAAGCAUUAAGAAUAAACAAUGUUGUAUAACCAUCACCAUUAUCCAGUUCCAGAAUUUUUCAUCACCUCACACAGAAACUCUGUACCUAUUAUCAACAAUAAAUUUUCAUUCCCCCCUUGCCCUCAGUCUCUGGUAACCACUAUUGAACUUUCUGUUUCUAUGAAUUUGCCCCUUCUCAGUGCCUAAUAUGAGUGGAAUAAUACAAUAUGGGUCCUUUGUGCCUAGUUUAUUUCACUUACUGUAAUGUUUUCAAGGUUCAUCCAUGUUAUAAUAUGGAUCAGAAUUUUAUUUCUUUUCAAGCAUGAAUAAUAGUCCAUGGUAUGUCUAUACCACAUUGUUUAUCCAUUCAUCAGCUGAUGGAUAUUUGGGGGUUGUUUCUAUCUUUUGGCUAUUGUAAAUGAUGAUGUUAUGAACAAUGGUGUAUAAUGUCUGUUUGAGCACUGCUUUGAAUUGUUUGGGGUAUAUACUUAGGAGCGGAAUUACUGGAUCAUAUGUCAAUUCUAUGUUUAAUUUUUGAGGAACUGUCGAGCUGUCUUUCACAGCAGCUGCAUAAUUUUACAUUCCCACCACAAUGCAUAAGAGCUUCAGUUUCUCAAAAUCUUUACCAACAUUUAUUUUUCUUUUUAAAAAUAUAUAAUAGCCAUACUAAUAGUAUAAAGUAAUAUUUCAUUGUGCAUUUGAUUUGCAUUUCCCUAAUGAUAACUGAUGUUGAGCAUCUUUUCACGUGCUUGUUGACCAUUUGUAUAUCUUCUUUUGAGAUAUGUCUAAUCAAGUCCUUUGUCCAUUUUUUAAUUGGGCUGGGUAUUAUUCUUCUGUUAUUGUUGAGUUGCAGGAGUUCUUUAUAUAUUCUGCAUAAAAGUUCCUUAUCAUAUAUUGAUUUUCAAAAUCUC
ensembl:lncRNA LINC00836 long intergenic non-protein coding RNA 836